AAGGAGGACUGUUUCUACACUGAAGCUUGUCAUUAUACCAGCAGUAUCUAAGCUAUACCAGAGAGGCCCUGAAAGCUAAACUAGAAGGGACCUGAUGAAAGGUUGAUACCAUCCUGAUUCCUUAGGGUAAUAGGUACAAUACUAAGGAAUGAAAAUGACAUCUGCAUUGAUCCUGACUCUCUAGGAAGCAUCGAUUCAGAAAAGUGAACUAGGCCAGUUUAUCUGAAAGGCACUCUUUGUAUUCUGGAAUUCCAGUUUCAAGAGCGAGAGCAUCACAUAUUUGCUAUCGGAUUUGUCCUGAU